rnacentral:Y_RNA from 1 species
GGCUGGUCCAAAUGCAGUGGUUACAACUAACUGACCACAACCAGUUACAGAUUUGUUUCCUCUCCACUCCUACUGCUUCACUUGGCUAGCCUGUA